UAAUAAAUGGCCGCGGUACUCUGACCGUGCUAAGGUAGCGCAAUCAAUUGGCUUUUAAUUGGAGUCAUGUAUGAAUGGAGUUACGGGGAUUAGCUGUCUCUUGAUUAAUUUAUUGAAGUUACUAUUCAGGUGAAAAAGCCUGGAUCAAGAAAAAGGACGAGAAGACCCUUAGAGUUUGUUAGGAGUGACAAAUUUUCACUAAUAUUUAAUUGGGGCAAUUAGGGAUUUUUAACUUCCCUUGGCCAACAGACCGAUAUUUAUAAAGAUGGAUAAACUACCUUAGGGAUAACAGCAUUAUUUAAUAAGUAAGAUUGUGACCUCGAUGUUGGACUAGGGAAUUGGAAGGCUAGCCGUUUUCUAAUAAAGUUCUGUUCGAACUGUUUCCCCU
rnacentral:rRNA from 1 species